rnacentral:rRNA from 1 species
UACGGAGGAUGCGAGCGUUAUCCGGAUUUAUUGGGUUUAAAGGGUGCGUAGGCGGGAUGCCAAGUCAGCGGUAAAAAUGCGGUGCUCAACGCCGUCGAGCCGUUGAAACUGGCGUUCUUGAGUGGGCGAGAAGUAUGCGGAAUGCGUGGUGUAGCGGUGAAAUGCAUAGAUAUCACGCAGAACUCCGAUUGCGAAGGCAGCAUACCGGCGCCCUACUGACGCUGAGGCACGGAGGCGUGGGUAUCGAACAGG